rnacentral:tRNA from 1 species
GGCAGGAUAGCUCAGCUGGUUAGAGCGGCGGCUUCAUAAGCCGUAGGUCGCCGGUUCAAGUCCGGCUCCUGCU